rnacentral:rRNA from 1 species
CACGUAGGGUGCGAGCGUUGUCCGGAAUUAUUGGGCGUAAAGAGCUCGUAGGCGGUGUGUCGCGUCGGCCGUGAAAACCUGCAGCUUAACUGUGGGCGUGCGGUCGAUACGGGCAUCACUGGAGUUCGGCAGGGGAGACUGGAAUUCCUGGUGUAGCGGUGAAAUGCGCAGAUAUCAGGAGGAACACCGGUGGCGAAGGCGGGUCUCUGGGCCGAAACUGACGCUGAGGAGCGAAAGCGUGGGGAGCAAACAGG